ACCAGAAGUGGUUAGCCUAACGCAAGAGGGCGAUCACCACGGUGUGGUUCAUGACUGGGGUGAAGUCGUAACAAGGUAGCCGUAGGGGAACCUGCGGCUGGAUCACCUCCUUA
rnacentral:rRNA from 1 species